rnacentral:rRNA from 1 species
CCCGGUUGACUACGCGAUAAAGCACUCCGCCUGGGGACUACGGUCGCAAGACUAAAACUCAAAGGAAUUGACGGGGACCCGCACAAGCGGUGGAGCAUGUGGUUUAAUUCGAUGCAACGCGAAAAACCUUACCACUCCUUGACAUGGAGAUUAGAUCCUUCUUAACGGAAGGGCGCAGUUCGGCUGGAUCUCGCACAGGUGCUGCAUGGCUGUCGUCAGCUCGUGUCGUGAGAUGUUGGGUUAAGUCCCGCAACGAGCGCAACCCUCAUCCUUAGUUGCCAGCGGGUAAGCCGGGCACUUUAAGGAAACUGCCGGUGGUAAACCGGAGGAAGGUGGGGAUGAUGUCAAGUCAGCACGGCCCUUAUGGGGUGGGCUACACACGUGCUACAAUGGUGACUACAAUAGGUUGCAAUGUCGCAAGGCUGAGCUAAUCCGUAAAAGUCAUCUCAGUUCGGAUUGUCCUCUGCAACUCGAGGGCAUGAAGUCGGAAUCGCUAGUAAUCGUGGAUCAGCAUGCCACGGUGAAUACGUUCUCGGGUCUUGUACACACUGCCCGUCACGCCAUGGGAAUUGGCUUAACUCGAAGCUGGUGCGCUAACCGAAAGGAAGCAGCCAUAA